GCUCAUUGUGGAGUAUUCCAACAAUCACAUAUAACGGAGAACAGCUUAGCUGACAGCUUGAUAUGCGCUUUUUUUUUUUUCCCCUACUGUAUGACGUACUGGUCUGUAGUAAAGAUUAAUAACUAAGAAAUGUAGAGCUAGGAUCAGAUCUUACGCUAUAUGCUGCCCUGUAAACUAUGUUUUACUUCUGACUUUUCUGCUUGCUGAAAACAUUAAUCUGUCAAGCUGGCGGGCUCCUUUGAUACCAACUUUCCCAGGAACACGAUGUGGCAAUGCCACCUCUCAGCCCAGGACUACCGCUAUUAUCCAGUGGAUGGUUAUUCGUUGCUUAAACGCCUCCCUCUUCACCCUCCUACAGGACCCCGAUGCCCUGUCCAGACAGUGGGACAAUGGCUGGAAAAUAUUGGGCUACCUCAGUAUGAAAACCACUUGCUGGCUAAUGGAUUUGACAAUGUGCAAUUUAUGGGAAGCAAUGUAAUGGAGGACCAGGAUCUCUUGGAAAUAGGAAUCCUUAACUCUGGACACAGACAGAGAAUACUCCAAGCAAUCCAGCUUCUCCCAAAGAUGAAGCAGAUCGGUCACGAUGGCUACAACCCCACCUCUGUAGCUGAAUGGCUGGAUUCCAUUGAACUGGGUGACUAUACCAAAUCCUUUCUAAUUAAUGGCUAUACAUCGAUGGACCUUGUGAAAAAAAUCUGGGAGAUUGAAUUAAUUAAU